AUUGAACGCUGGCGGCAGGCCUAACACAUGCAAGUCGAGCGGAGCGGCGGACGGGCGAGUAAUGCCUAGGAAUCUGCCUGGUAGUGGGGGCUAACGUCCGGAAACGGGCGCUAAUCCCGCAUACUAUCAGAUGAGCCUAGGUCGGAGUAGCUCGUUGGUGGGGUAAAGGCCUACCAAGGCGACGAACCGUAACUGGUCUGAGAGGAUGAUCAGUGAAACUGGAACUGGGACACGGGCCAGACUCCUACGGGAGGCAGCAGUGGGGAUUAUUGGACAAUGGGCGUAAGCCUGAUCCAGCCAUGCCGCGGGUGGGAAGAAGGUCUUCGGAUUGUAAAGCCCUUUAAGUUGGGAGGCGUUACCAACAGAAUAAGCACCGGCUAACUUCGUGCCAGCAGCCGCGGUAAUUC
rnacentral:rRNA from 1 species